rnacentral:rRNA from 1 species
AACGAACGCUGGCGGCAGGCCUAACACAUGCAAGUCGAGCGAGGACUUCGGUUCUAGCGGCGGACGGGUGAGUAACGCGUGGGAAUGUGCCCUUCUCUACGGAAUAGCCCUGGGAAACUGGGAGUAAUACCGUAUACGCCCUAUUGGGGAAAGAUUUAUCGGAGAAGGAUCAGCCCGCGUUGGAUUAGGUAGUUGGUGGGGUAAUGGCCUACCAAGCCGACGAUCCAUAGCUGGUUUGAGAGGAUGAUCAGCCACACUGGGACUGAGACACGGCCCAGACUCCUACGGGAGGCAGCAGUGGGGAAUCUUAGACAAUGGGGGCAACGCUGAUCUAGCCAUGCCGCGUGAGUGAUGAAGGCCUUAGGGUUGUAAAGCUCUUUCAGCUGGGAAGAUAAUGACGGUACCAGAAGAAGAAGCCCCGGCUAACUCCGUG